rnacentral:rRNA from 1 species
AGUGAACGCUGGCGGUAGGCCUAACACAUGCAAGUCGAACGGCAGCACAGUAAGAGCUUGCUCUUACGGGUGGCGAGUGGCGGACGGGUGAGGAAUACAUCGGAAUCUACUUUUUCGUGGGGGAUAACGUAGGGAAACUUACGCUAAUACCGCAUACGACCUACGGGUGAAAGCAGGGGAUCUUCGGACCUUGCGCGAUUGAAUGAGCCGAUGUCGGAUUAGCUAGUUGGCGGGGUAAAGGCCCACCAAGGCGACGAUCCGUAGCUGGUCUGAGAGGAUGAUCAGCCACACUGGAACUGAGACACGGCCCAGACCCCUAGGGGAGGCAGCGGGGGGGAAUAUUGGAAAAUGGGCGCAAGCCUGACCCAGCCAUCCCGGGGGGGUGAAAAAGGCCUUCGGGUUGUAAAGCCCUUUUGUUGGGAAAGAAAAGCAGCAGGUUAAUACCCCGCUGUUCUGACGGUACCCAAAGAAUAAGCCCCGGCUAACUUCGU